rnacentral:rRNA from 1 species
CGGGCCUACGGGGCGCAGCAGUAGGGAAUUUUCGUCAAUGGGCGCAAGCCUGAACGAGCAAUGCCGCGUGAACGAGGAAGGUCUUCGGAUCGUAAAGUUCUGUUGAAGGGGAAAAAGAGCGGAGAGAGGAAAUGGUCUCCGAUUGAUAUUACCCUUCGAGGAAGUCACGGCUAACUACGUGCCAGCAGCCGCGGUAAUACGUAGGUGGCGAGCGUUAUCCGGAAUGAUUGGGCGUAAAGGGAGCGUAGACGGCCAGACAAGUCUGAAGUGAAAAUCCAGCGCUUAACGUUGGAAGUGCUUUGGAA